AGGCACCAACGGACACCUCUACAGUAUCGUCAUAAUAUCGAUACUGAUAUUUAAAUGUUGUGUCUUUAUCGCCUAGCCCUAACGGUACUCCUAAUUUCCGAGUUUCCCCUGAAUACAGCGUGCACGGAAGUAACGUGAAAAGCAGACUCGCUUGUUUUAACGUAAACUUUUAUACAGGAUAACAAAUUCAGCUGUACGUCGACAACGAUGGUAGGUCCUGCUGCUGCCGGCAGGACUGAGGUGUCAUUCCCUGCCAGGGUGCUCUGCCAUGCCACAUCUGUCCAUCUGUCAAGCAUACAGGCCCAUCAAUCAAGCAGCUGAAUGCAGCACCCCCCCUCUGGUCAUUCUCAGAGGAGUUGUCCCCUGCCCAGUGGCAUGUGGAUGUGUAUAAUGGAGAUGGAUGGCGGCUGGCGCUGCCACACCGUGGAACAGACGGACUCCUCCCUAAACGCCUGUCUGCCAGCCUCCAUCAGUCUCCCUCCGACAGCCCUCCGGAAUAGAGCCCAUGCUCAAUAUUGGCCCGCUCAGGUGCUGGGAUUGAAUAAAACGACUGAAAAUGCGGGAGCAAGUGGAUGCAGCAGGAUGCAGCAGAAUCACAGUGGUUACCACCAUCGUGCCAUGUUUUACACUGCCGCUGCACUGUAAAUUGUACUUUUCUUUGUUUUUCUUUGAGUUAAAGCGAUUCAGUUUGAAUUUUUAAUCCCUGCUAGGAGGCAUAUGUGUU